GAGUGUAGAUACGGAAGGUUGCCGCCUAUCCCACAAAGGCGGGUUUUUCCGAGGAGCGAUGUCCAGUUCAAGAAACCGGGCGACAA
rnacentral:ncRNA from 2 species